GCUGAUCCUCGCCUCGGAAGAAGCCGUGAAGAAACACGGCCUGACGCCGCGCGCAAAGCUCCUCGGUCAUGCGUCGGCUGGUGUCGCGCCGCGUGUGAUGGGCAUGGGCCCCGUGCCGGCGGUGCGCAAGCUGCUCGAGAAGCUUGGCCUCAAGAUCGGUGACAUCGAUCUGAUCGAGCUCAACGAAGCGUUCGCGUCGCAGGGCAUCGCGGUGCUGCGCCAGCUCGGUGUUCAGGAGGAUGCUGAUUUCGUGAAUCCGCAUGGCG
rnacentral:misc_RNA from 1 species